rnacentral:rRNA from 1 species
CCUACGGGGGGCAGCAGUGGGGAAUAUUGGGCAAUGGAGGCAACUCUUAUCCAGCAAUGCCGCGUGAAUGAAGAAGGUUUUCGGAUUGUAAAGUUCUUUAAUUGGGGACGAAAAAAAUGAUGGUACCCAAGGAAUAAGCCCCGGCUAACUGAGUGCCAGCAGCCGCGGUAAAUCGUAGGGGGCAAGCGUUGUUCGGGAUGACUGGGCGUAAAGGGUGUGUCGGCGGUGUAGGCAGUUAGGAGUGAAAUACCUAGGGCUUAACUCAGGUGCUGCUUCUAAAACUGCUAUGCUUGAGUGCAGUAGAGGAAAGUGGAAUUCCUAGUGUAGCGGUGAAAUGCGUAGAGAUCACGCAGAACACCGAUUGCGAAGGCAGCAUACCGGCGCCCAACUGACGCUGAGGCACGAAAGCGUGGGGAGCGAACAGGAUUAGAUACCCGUGUAGUC